UACAGAGGGUGCAAGCGUUGUUCGGAAUUACUGGGCGUAAAGGGCGCGUAGGCGGUACUUCAAGUCAGGCGUGAAAGCCCCGGACUCAACCUGGGAACCGCGCUUGAGACUGGAGAACUAGAGUUCGGGAGAGGAUGGUGGAAUUCCCAGUGUAGAGGUGAAAUUCGUAGAUAUUGGGAAGAACACCGAUGGCGAAGGCAGCCAUCUGGACCGACACUGACGCUGAGGCGCGAAAGCGUGGGGAGCAAACAGG
rnacentral:rRNA from 1 species